UACGAAGGGUGCAAGCGUUAAUCGGAAUUACUGGGCGUAAAGCGCGCGUAGGUGGUUCAGUAAGUUGGAAGUGAAAUCCCCGGGCGCAACCUGGGAACUGCUUUCAAAACUGCUGAGCUAGAGUACGGUAGAGGGUGGUGGAAUUUCCUGUGUAGCGGUGAAAUGCGUAGAUAUAGGAAGGAACACCAGUGGCGAAGGCGACCACCUGGACUGAUACUGACACUGAGGUGCGAAAGCGUGGGGAGCAAACAGG
rnacentral:rRNA from 1 species